rnacentral:misc_RNA from 1 species
UGCGUGGUCGGAGCGAGACACUGCAAGUACGAAACCAGGUCACUGAACCCUUAUUCAGCAACUCCAACUCCUGUAGCCUGACGAGUGACGACAUGGAGACGGAAGGAGACGUCCGACGUGAAGUCCGCGUGUGGGCGUGCUACGGUCUCACGGCAUCACCUGAUCAACGGCGUGGCGGUGGCGAGCUCGGCGUCCUCCUCCCACAGCCGCAGAUCAUCCACCAGCCUGUCGAGGCUCUCGCACGACGACCCACCGGGCGCCGUGGCCUUCCAGGCCGCGGCCUUCCACUUGGCGGCGCAGCGCCGCAUUUCCCUGGCCCUGUCGGUACCGCCGGCCAUCAGCUCCUCGACGUGGGCCGCGACCUGCUCCCGGCGCAGCGCCUCGUCCAGGCGCAGCCCGAUGCCCCACUCCUCGCACGCGUACCGGCAGUUGAUGUACUGGUCGGCGAACCCGGGCCAGCAGACCAUCGGCACGCCCGCCCAGAUGCUCUCCGCCGUGGAGUUCCAGCCGCUGUGCGUCAGGAACCCGCCCACGGCGCGGUGCCGCAGGACCUGCUCCUGCGCGCACCACUCGGCGAUGAAGCACCGGCCCCCGGUCGCGGCCAGGAAGCCCUCGGGCAGCGCGUCGGCGCCGCGGUCCCCGGCCACGAGCCCCGGGCGCACCGCCCAGAGGAACGGCCGGUCGCUGGCCGCCAGGCCCCACGCGAGCUCCGCGACCUGCUCCAGCGACAGCACGGCCAGGGACCCGAAGCUGACGUACAGGACCGACCCGUCCGCCUGCGCGUCCAGCCACGCCACGCACUCGGAGUCCUCCUCCCACAGGCUCAGCGCCCCCGCGGCGGCGGCGGCCAGGGGACCGAUGGUGUACACCCGCGGGAACUCGUCCCUCAGCGCGGCGAGGACGUCGUGCUCGAGGUCCUCGAACGUGUUGAGGAUGACGCCCCGCGCCCUGGCGCAGCUGUUCGCCUCGUCCUCCUCCACGCGCAGCGCGAAGCACUGCGGGUCCAGCGUCCGGACGAAGCUGGAGAUGUCGCCGAGCCGCAGCGUCGGCAUCCCCGCGAUCCAGUCGAUGGGCGUGUCCAGGUACCCGUUCGUCAGGUAGCUCUCGUCUGCCAUUAAGAAGAAGAGCAUGCAGUCAUACGAUACGAUGGAGUAAUCUUCUUGACGUGCAAGUCAUGCAAG